GGUAUGUCUAGUGGAUACCAUUAAGGACCAAUAAUGGUAAUGGUUUUAAUGGUUAGCUGAUGGUUUGUAAUGGUAUUUGUAGUGGUGGAAACCAUUAGAAUUUCUGUGAUUUCUAUUGUUUGGAUGUUGUUUUUUCAGUAGAGAUAUUAUUGAUCAAUAGCUUAAAAUCGCAGAAUUGUCAGACAGCAUUAUGUAUAAAUGCUUGUUGUUUACAGUGUGGUUUAAUUUAUUGAUGAGUGUCAAAUAAAAGGAAAAAGUACAUCUACUCAGGACAUCCACAUAUACCUCGUACAUCCGCUCAGUACAUACUCAUAUACCAUCACAUCUCAGUAAGUACUCAUAUACCCAUCACAUCUGCUCUCAUACUACUCAUAUACCAUCACAUCCGCUCAGUAAGUACUCAUAUACCAUCACAUCCGCUCAGUACGUACUCAUAUACCCAUCACAUCCGCUCAGUACGUACUCAUAUACCCAUCACAUCCGCUCAGUACGUACUCAUAUACCAUCACAUCCGCUCAGUACGUACUCAUAUACCAUCACAUCCGCUCAGUACAUACUCAUAUACCAUCACAUCCGCUCAGUACAUACUCAUAUACCAUCACAUCCGCUCAGUACAUACUCAUAUGCCCAUCACAUCCGCUCAGUACAUACUCAUAUACCAUCACAUCCGCUCAGUACAAAAAUAUAAACAAACGCA
ensembl:lncRNA